UUGCAUAUGAUGAGUUACUCGGAUUCCCCUUCAGGACAUCAUGGAUGAUGCACAUUCGAGUUUUCUGAUGCA
rfam:Morus notabilis contig21394, whole genome shotgun sequence.